UGAGCAGAUCUAUAAAACAGUAAAUGUGAACAGGAUUAACGAACAACAAACUGUGCAAUUGCAAAUAUAAAUAAAUAACAAUAAACAAGGAGCGCAUGAAAGAACAAGAUAAAGAGUCCUUAAAAUGAGAUCAUUGGUUGUGGGAACACCAGAAAUAGAAGGAGUGCAGUUAUCCCUUUUUGUUCAAGCUUGAGGAGUAACAUCUGUUCCUGAACCUGGAGAUGUGAGUCCUGAGGCACCUGUACCUUCUACCUGAUGGCAGCAGCAAGAAAAGAGCAUGGCCUGGGUGCAUGGAAAAUACCAAAUAAAUGUAUUGUGGAUUCAGUUUGGAACAAUGGAUUCCUAAAAGCCCAGUCCAGACUCUGCUGACUUCUGUGGGAUGGAUGCGAAUCACAAGGACCAGAUCUAAGAUAGCAUGUUCCGUUGUAAGUCCAGUAACAUGCUGUGCAAAAAAAGCUAUCACAGAUGCGUUCUAUGAAGUCCUCCUCAAGAUAGCCUCAACCAACGUGAUUUGCCAGAACUGUGCAAGCUGAAGUCCCUCAUGACAACUGCCAUUCAAUUCCUAUAUGC